rnacentral:rRNA from 1 species
UAGUUGGGGAGGUAAGAGCUCACCAAGGCGAUGAUCAGUAGCUGUUCUGAGAGGAAGAUCAGCCACACUGGGACUGAGACACGGCCCAGACUCCUACGGGAGGCAGCAGUGGGGAAUUUUGGACAAUGGGGGGAACCCUGAUCCAGCAACGCCGCGUGAAUGAAGAAGGCCUUAGGGUUGUAAAGUUCUUUUGUCGCAGAGCAAAGGAGUGGUGCUAAUAUCAUCACUAGAUGAGAGUAUGCGAAGAAUAAGCACCGGCUAACUACGUGCCAGCAGCCGCGGUAAUACGUAGGGUGCAAGCGUUAAUCGGAAUUACUGGGCGUAAAGCGUGCGCAGGCGGAUGAUUAAGUUAGGAGUGAAAUCCCCGGGCUCAACCUGGGAAUUGCUUUUGAUACUGGUCAUCUAGAGUUUGUCAGAGGGGGGUGGAAUUCCAAGUGUAGCAGUGAAAUGCGUAGAGAUUUGGAGGAACACCAAUGGCGAAGGCAGCCCCCUGGGAUAGAACUGACGCUCAUGCACGAAAGCGUGGGUAGCAAACAGGAUUAGAUACCCUGGUAGUCCACGCCCUAAACGAUGUCUACUAGCUGUUGGGGAAACUUAGUAGCUAAGCUAACGCGAGAAGUAGACCGCCUGGGAAGUACGGUCGCAAGAUUAAAACUCAAAGGAAUUGACGGGGACCCGCACAAGCGGUGGAUGAUGUGGAUUAAUUCGAUGCAACGCGAAAAACCUUACCUGCUCUUGACAUGUACGGAAGGAGUAAGAGAUUACUCUGUGCCUUCGGGAACCGUAACACAGGUGCUGCAUGGCUGUCGCCAGCUCGUGUCGUGAGAUGUUGUCUUAAGUGACGCAACGAGCGCAACCCUUGCCACUAGUUGCCAUCAUUAAGUUGGGCACUUUAGUGGGACUGCUGG